GGACUACCGGGGUUUCUAAUCCUGUUUGCUCCCCUUGCUCUCGCGCCUCAGCGUCAGGUAUUAACUAGAAAACCGCUUUCGCCACCGGUGUUCUUCCACAUAUCUACGCAUUUCACCGCUACACGUGGAAUUCCAUUUUCUCCGUCAAUCCUCUAGAAUUGUAGUUUCAAAUGCAGCUCCGAAGUUGAGCUUCGGAAUUUCACAUCUGACUUACAUUUCCGCCUACGCGCCCUUUACGCCCAAUAAUUCCGAUUAAUGCUUGCACUCUCCGUAUUACCGCGGCUGCUGGCAC
rnacentral:rRNA from 1 species